AGCGAACGCUGGCGGUAGGCCUAACACAUGCAAGUCGAACGGCAGCACAGUAAGAGCUUGCUCUUACGGGUGGCGAGUGGCGGACGGGUGAGGAAUACAUCGGAAUCUACUUUUUCGUGGGGGAUAACGUAGGGAAACUUACGCUCAUACCGCAUACGACCUACGGGUGAAAGCAGGGGAUCUUCGGACCUUGCGCGAUUGAAUGAGCCGCUGUCGGAUUAGCUAGUUGGCGGGGUAAAGGCCCACCAAGGCGACGAUCCGUAGCUGGUCUGAGAGGAUGGUCGGCCACACUGGAACUGAGACACGGUCCAGACUCCUACGGGAGGCAGCAGUGGGGAAUAUGGGACAAUGGGGGCAAGCCUGAUCCAGCCAUACCGCGUGGGUGAAGAAGGCCUUCGGGUUGUAAAGCCCUUUUGUUGGGAAAGAAAAGCAGCAGGUUAAGACCCCGCUGUUCUGACGGUACCCAAAGAAUAAGCACCGGCUAACUUCGUG
rnacentral:rRNA from 1 species